rnacentral:rRNA from 1 species
AUUGAACGCUGGCGGCAUGCUUUACACAUGCAAGUCGAACGGUAACAGGCCGCAAGGUGCUGACGAGUGGCGAACGGGUGAGUAAUGCAUCGGAACGUGCCCAGUCGUGGGGGAUAACGCAGCGAAAGCUGCGCUAAUACCGCAUACGAUCUAUGGAUGAAAGCGGGGGACCGGAAGGCCUCGCGCGAUUGGAGCGGCCGAUAUCGGAUUGGGUAGUUGGUGGGGUAAAGGCUCACCAAGCAAACGAUCUGUAGCUGGUCUGAGAGGACGACCAGCCACACUGGAACUGAGACACGGUCCAGACUCCUACGGGAGGCAGCAGUGGGGAAUUUUGGACAAUGGACGCAAGUCUGAUCCAGCCAUUCCGCGUGCAGGAUGAAGGCCCUCGGGUUGUAAACUGCUUUUGUACGGAACGAAAAGGUCUCUCUUAAUACGGGGGGCUCAUGACGGUACCGUAAGAAUAAGCACCGGCUAACUACGUGCCAGCCGCCGCAGUAA